rnacentral:rRNA from 1 species
AUGAACGCUAGCGACAGGCUAACACAUGCAGGUCGAGGGGUAACAGGGUAGCAAUACCGCUGACGACCGGCGCACGGGUGAGUAACGCGUAUGCAACCUGCCUAUAACUGGGGAAUAGCUCCCUGAAAGGGGAAUUAACACCGCAUAACACUAUUGAUUCGCAUGGAUUGGUAGUUAAAUGUAGCGAUACAGGUUAUAGAUGGGCAUGCGUGACAUUAGCUAGUUGGUGAGGUAACGGCUCACCAAGGCUACGAUGUCUAGGGGUUCUGAGAGGAAGGUCCCCCACACUGGUACUGAGACACGGACCAGACUCCUACGGGAGGCAGCAGUGAGGAAUAUUGGUCAAUGGGCGCAAGCCUGAACCAGCCAUGUCGCGUGCAGGAAGACUGCCCUAUGGGUUGUAAACUGCUUUUAUAGUAGAAGAAACACAUCUACGCGUAGAUGUCUGCCAGUAUACUAUGAAUAAGCAUCGGCUAACUCCGUGCCAGCCGCUGC